rnacentral:rRNA from 1 species
AGUGAACGCUGGCGGUAGGCCUAACACAUGCAAGUCGAACGGCAGCACAGUAAGAGCUUGCUCUUACGGGUGGCGAGUGGCGGACGGGUGAGGAAUACAUCGGAAUCUACUUUUUCGUGGGGGAUAACGUAGGGAAACUUACGCUAAUACCACAUACGACCUACGGGUGAAAGCAGGGGAUCUUCGGACCUUGCGCGAUUGAAUGAGCCGAUGUCGGAUUAGCUAGUUGGCGGGGUAAAGGCCCACCAAGGCGACGAUCCGUAGCUGGUCUGAGAGGAUGAUCAGCCACACUGGAACUGAGACACGGUCCAGACUCCUACGGGAGGCAGCAGUGGGGAAUAUUGGACAAUGGGCGCAAGCCUGAUCCAGCCAUACCGCGUGGGUGAAGAAGGCCUUCGGGUUGUAAAGCCCUUUUGUUGGGAAAGAAAAGCAGCAGGUUAAUACCCCGCUGUUCUGACGGUACCCAAAGAAUAAGUACCGGCUAACUUCGUG